CAGCAGUGGGGAAUUUUGGACAAUGGGGGCAACCCUGAUCCAGCCAUUCCGCGUGAGUGAAGAAGGCCUUCGGGUUGUAAAGCUCUUUCAGCUGGAGUGAAACGGUGCGCUCUAACAUAGCGUGCUAAUGACGGUACCAGCAGAAGAAGCACCGGCUAACUACGUGCCAGCAGCCGCGGUAAUACGUAGGGUGCGAGCGUUAAUCGGAAUUACUGGGCGUAAAGCGUGCGCAGGCGGAUUGUUAAGCGAGACGUGAAAUCCCCGGGCUUAACCUGGGAAUGGCGUUUUGAACUGGCAGUCUAGAGUGCGUCAGAGGGGGGUGGAAUUCCACGUGUAGCAGUGAAAUGCGUAGAGAUGUGGAGGAACACCGACGGCGAAGGCAGCCCCCUGGGAUGACACUGACGCUCAUGUACGAAAGCGUGGGUAGCAAACAGGAUUAGAUACCCUGGUAGUCCACGCCCUAAACGAUGUCAACUGGUUGUUGGGGGAGUGAAAUCCCUUAGUAACGAAGCUAACGCGUGAAGUUGACCGCCUGGGGAGUACGGUCGCAAGAUUAAAACUCAAAGGAAUUGACGGGGACCCGCGCAAGCGGUGGAUGGUGUGGAUUAAUUCGAUGCAACGCGAAAAACCUUACCUACCCUUGACAUGUCCGGAAUCCUGCAGAGAUGCGGGAGUGCCCGAAAGGGAAUCGGAACACAGGUGCUGCAUGGCUGUCGUCAGCUCGUGUCGUGAGAUGUUGGGUUAAGUCCCGCAACGAGCGCAACCCUUAUCAUUAGUUGCUACGCAAGGGCACUCUAAUGAGACUGCCGGUGACAAACCGGAGGAAGGUGGGGAUGACGUCAAGUCCUCAUGGCCCUUAUGGGUAGGGCUUCACACGUCAUACAAUGGUCGGUACAGAGGGUUGCCAAGCCGCGAGGUGGAGCCAAUCCCAGAAAGCCGAUCGUAGUCCGGAUUGUUCUCUGCAACUCGAGAGCAUGAAGUCGGAAUCGCUAG
rnacentral:rRNA from 1 species